rnacentral:rRNA from 1 species
CCUUUGACGUUAGCGGCGGACGGGUGAGUAACACGUGGGUAACCUACCUAUAAGACUGGGAUAACUUCGGGAAACCGGAGCUAAUACCGGAUAAUAUUUCGAGCCGCAUGGUUCGAUAGUGAAAGGUGGUUUUGCUAUCACUUAUAGAUGGACCCGCGCCGUAUUAGCUAGUUGGUAAGGUAACGGCUUACCAAGGCGACGAUACGUAGCCGACCUGAGAGGGUGAUCGGCCACACUGGAACUGAGACACGGUCCAGACUCCUACGGGAGGCAGCAGGC